ACAUACGACCAUAGGACACUGAACAACAGGGCUUCCCGUCCGCUCAGCCUUACUUAAGCAGUGUACCGGCAGACUAGUAAUUGCGUGGGUGACCAGCAGUGAAUCCCUGCUGUCGUAUGUU
rnacentral:rRNA from 1 species